CUUUGUCUCUCGCUCCCACCAGAGCUUGGAAUCCGUCUCUGCUCUUCUGCAUUCUCCACCUCGGGAGCCCCUGGGGACUCUGUGACGGCCUCUGUUGCCCUGUGAUCUGCAGGUCCGGAGAGACGCACAGCUAAGAUGUCAGGACAUCCUGGAAGCUGGGAAAGGGUCUUGCCAUCUCUAAGCUGGACCUGGUGACCUUUUUGGAGGGAAAGAAAGAGCCCUGGACUGUGAAGAGUGAGGAGACCAUAGCUGCACAGCCAGUCCAGAUGUAUAAUCUCAUCCCUGAACAUUUCUGAUGGUGUGAUUAUGACAUGUGACUUUAUCUGGCAACAGAGUGAGUUGUUGCUCCCGCCUGAGCCCAGCCCCCAGAAAGGAUUGUGACAUAUCGUUGGACCCAGAAUUGAGGGACUGUUGACAUUUAGGGAUGUGGCCAUAGAAUUCUCUCUGGAGGAGUGGCAACACCUGGACAUUGCACAGCAGAAUUUAUAUAGAAAUGUGAUGUUAGAGAACUACAGAAACCUGGCCUUCCUGGGUAUGUGUCCUCAUUUUGCUCAAGACCUUUGGCCAGAGCAGGGCAUGGAAGAUUCUUUUCAAAAAGCAAUACUGAGAAGAUAUGGAAAAUAUGGACAUGAGAAUUUACAGUUAAGAAAAGGCUGUAAAAGUGUGGAUGAGUAUAAGGUGAACAAAGAAGGUUAUAAUGGACUUAACCAGUGUUUCACAACUGCCCAGAGCAAAGUAUUUCAAUGUGAUAAAUAUUUGAAAGUCUUCUAUAAAUUUUUAAAUUCAAACAGACCUAAGAUAAGACAUACUGAAAAGAAAUCUUUCAAAUGUAAAAAACGUGUCAAAUUAUUUUGCAUGCUUUCACAUAAAACCCAACACAAAAGCAUUUAUCAUAGAGAGAAGUCCUACAAAUGUAAAGAAUGUGGAAAAACCUUUAAUUGGUCCUCAACCCUUACUAAUCAUAGGAAAAUUUAUACUGAAGAG
rnacentral:lncRNA from 1 species